rnacentral:lncRNA from 1 species
CCGCGCUCCCCCGCCCCGCCCCGCAGUCCCUGCCGGGCCGGGCCUCGUCCCCGGGGCGCUGAGGGCGCGUCCCUCUCGCCGAGAGGGCCGGGGGCGUCGUUGGGGGCACCGAGUCCCGAACAGGAAUGUUAUGCUUUUAAGCAAGAGAUAAAACUACUGAAAAGCCAGAGCUAGACCCAGCAACAAACUAAUGGAGGUGUGCAGCAAAAUGGGUUGAGAGCACAGCUGUCUUAUUCCAUCUUGUUUUUGCACUGUCUUCAGUUUUGCUUCAGAAAGUGCUACAUAUCUAAAUGGGUUUGUCAAAUUGGCAAAGAAGAACAGACAACCUCUGGUGUCUGUUGCAUCCUGAUUUAUCCACUUUGCUUCUGGCAGCCUAUGAAGGAGAUCUACUGCAGUGUGCCUGUGAACCUUCCCUGCAAACAGAUAAGGAAUUUCUGUUUUCUCUUUUCAACCAGUGCUGGCUAAGCUGAAACU